CAACUGGAGAGUUUGAUCCUGGCUCAGAACGAACGCUGGCGGCGUGCCUAACACAUGCAAGUCGCGCGAGAAAAGGGGGGCAACCCCCUGAGUAAAGCGGCGCACGGGUGAGUAACACGUAGGUAACCUACCCUCGAGUCUAGAAUAACCUACCGAAAGGUGGGCUAAUGCCGGAUAUGACCACGGGGACUUCGGUCUCUGCGGUGAAAGGUGGCCUCUGCUUGCAAGCUACCGCUCGAAGAUGGGCCUGCGCGCCAUUAGCUAGUUGGUGGGGUAACGGCCCACCAAGGCGAUGAUGGCUAGCUGGUCUGAGAGGAUGGCCAGCCACACUGGGACUGAAACACGGCCCAGACUCCUAC
rnacentral:rRNA from 1 species